rnacentral:lncRNA from 1 species
UAAUUAAUUCAAAUUUUGUUACUUCUUUUCAAAUUUCAUAUACAAAACAAAAGCAUAUAUACAUUCACUUGCAUUGCAUGUUCUAGUAAAGAAUAGAAUUUUGCUCUUGUAAUUAACCAAAAUGCCUUUUUUUUGGCAAGAUGCAAUUUUGAUGUGAUGAAUCCCUUCCUACACACAGAUUUGUUUUGUAGGUGUGAAAGAGAAAAAAGGAAGGGUGUCUUUUUUCUUUACUCUUUCCUCUUUGUGAGAAUCCUUAUCCACCCAUAUUUAACCUUCUUCUCUGUUUGGACCGACCUCUUCCGCUUGAUGAGGUGGAUGAGGUGGCCAACCCGCCUCCGCCACCUCAGCGAGCCGCCUGGCUUCGUGUGCUCGGGGAUCACACUCUUGCUCGACAUUUCAUUAUGUGAUGACAUUUUCCCUUUGUCCCAUGAGGCAACGCCAUUCUCUUCGAACUUUAUUGAUAUGAAUGACUCUGCAUCAUUC